rnacentral:rRNA from 1 species
GAUGAACGCUGGCGGCGUGCCUAAUACAUGCAAGUCGAGCGAACAGACGAGGAGCUUGCUCCUCUGACGUUAGCGGCGGACGGGUGAGUAACACGUGGAUAACCUACCUAUAAGACUGGGAUAACUUCGGGAAACCGGAGAUAAUAACGGAUAAUAUAUUGAACCGCAUGGUUCAAUAGUGAAAGACGGUUUUGCUGUCACUUAUAGAUGGAUCCGCGCCGCAUUAGCUAGUUGGUAAGGUAACGGCUUACCAAGGCAACGAUGCGUAGCCGAGCUGAGAGGGUGAUCGGCCACACUGGAACUGAGACACGGUCCAGACUCCUACGGGAGGCAGCAGUAGGGAAUCUUCCGCAAUGGGCGAAAGCCUGACGGAGCAACGCCGCGUGAGUGAUGAAGGUCUUCGGAUCGUAAAACUCUGUUAUUAGGGAAGAACAAAUGUGUAAGUAACUAUGCACGUCUUGACGGUACCUAAUCAGAAAGCCACGGCUAACUACGUG